GACUCAGCUUGCUCUGGCUGC
rnacentral:miRNA from 1 species